UAUGGUUCAUUCAGCCAGCUGGAUUUAACUGCUUCGAACCGCGUGGCGUGGCUUCAGGAAACUGCUCUGCAGUCAUGCCCUGUGUUUAAAGAGGUCUGCUGGUGCUUGGCCUGGAGCCCUGUUCCACGAAAUACCACAGAUCUGGCUUCUGAGGAGAGGAGACGUGAGCUUCUGAGCUCCAGGUUGCUGCUGUUUCGCUCUCAGGAUGACGUGUUCCUGCGUGUGCUCGAUGGCACUCGGUUCCCAUCAUAGCAUGGUGCAGGACUUCGUGAGAUCAAGGAGGGUUUGCUGUAUGAUGGAGUCUGUGCUGGCUUUGUCCUCCCUGAAGUUCACAAAGAUUUGGUUUACUGAGGUGGCCUCUGGUCUAAUGUUAGCAUGAGGAAACAGGAAGGGGGUUGUAGCUUGUGCUAGACACUACAAAGCAAAAAUGUGCUCAGGGAGCAUGGGAAGCCUUCCUCCCAACAAGGACUAGCUGGAGAACUUGCUCUGACGAAGCUAAACCUCCAUCAAAAUCGCUCUGGUGAUAAUUCCCAUUUCAGGUGACAUAAUCUGAAGGAGGCUUCUCCCUUCAAGAACGAGCAAAUGCUGGUGUGAUUUAAUGGGAUGCAUUUUAGCUUGUUUCCUGACUUUUCAUCAGUCAAAACUGGGCAUACUUGUUUGAGAACCGAAAGGUGUUGUGUCACUGAGUGUCAUGGCAUUAGAGAUACCCUGGCCGAGAUCUGUUGUGCUGUCCUUGGGAUGAAAUUUAUAAAAUGUCAGCAGCUAUAACAUUUACUUCCGUAAGUACACCCUCUAUGCUGGAAAGACGAGCGUAUUAUGAGACGUAGCUGCCUACAGACUUCUGGUGCAUACGGCGGAGAAAAGGUUUAAUCUGGUCAAGACCUCUCCAGACCCCUUCACUGUCGCUUAGGAGGUGAAGAAACAAGUGGCUGCAGCUCGCAUGUGAAAGCUGCUUUGUGUCUUGCCAGCCUCUUGGCAACACUUCAGAGCUAGAGCUAUUUUGAGUAAUGGAGCUUGGAAGUGGAAAAAGGCUUUGUGGCAAACCUAGCAUAUGCAUUUCUGAGAAACACAUUCAGUUCCUAUAUGGUUAUUUUUGUGUAAUUUGACAGGAAAAUUCGAACAUCGAGGAGAGCAUGUUCAGGUGAGUCAGAUUACAGCUCGCACGUGUAUUUGCACCCAGAAGUUACCCAAUUGCAUGAGUAACUGAGUGCAGAAAUGUUUUCUGGUUUCUGCUUACAACAGCUUAGGUAUAAAAUCUGUGCUAUUUAUGAGUUUAUAUGGAGAAGAGAAAUGUUUGUUAGCUACUGGAUCAUUGAAAAUGUUACACCUGCCAGAAGGCAGAAGAUUCCUUGAGAAUCCAGUGCUGAUUAGCACUGAUGAAAUACAGGAAAUACAGGGAAAUACAUCUUUCAAAAACUGA